rnacentral:lncRNA from 1 species
AACAUAGUAUUUCUACUAAAUGCAGUAUUUCUGGGUAAUCAUUGUAUUUCUAUAUAUUUCUGCCAGGUCCCCAGGGAGUCAGUCCUAAUAUUCAAAUUUACAUAUCAGGACCUGGACGGCUUCCCAGCCAGCCAAUCAUAUCUGAGUCCUGGCACAUUCAAAUUUGCAUAUUGUUGCCUUCAUGGCUUCCCAGCCAGCCAAUCAUAUCUGAGUCCUGGCACAUUCAAAUUUGCAUAUUGGGACCUUCAUGGCUUCCCAGCCAGCCAAUCAUAUCUGAUUCCUGGCACAUUCAAAUUUGCAUAUUGGGACCUUCAUGGCUUCUCAGCCAGCCAAUCAUAUCUGAGUCCUGGCACAUUCAAAUUUGCAUAUUGUUGCCUUCAUGGCUUCCCAGCCAGCCAAUCAUAUCUGAGUCCUGGCACAUUCAAAUUUGCAUAUUGGGACCUUCAUGGCUUCCCAGCCAGCCAAUCAUAUCUGAUUCCUGGCACAUUCAAAUUUGCAUAUUGGGACCUUCAUGGCUUCUCAGCCAGCCAAUCAUAUCUGAGUCCUGGCACAUUCAAAUUUGCAUAUUGUUGCCUUCAUGGCUUCCCAGCCAGCCAAUCAUAUCUGAGUCCUGGCACAUUCAAAUUUGCAUAUUGGGACCUUCAUGGCUUCCCAGCCAGCCAAUCAUAUCUGAUUCCUGGCACAUUCAAAUUUGCAUAUUGGGACCUUCAUGGCUUCUCAGCCAGCCAAUCAUAUCUGAGUCCUGGCACAUUCAAAUUUGCAUAUUGUUGCCUUCAUGGCUUCCCAGCCAGCCAAUCAUAUCUGAGUCCUGGCACAUUCAAAUUUGCAUAUUGGGACCUUCAUGGCUUCCCAGCCAGCCAAUCAUAUCUGAUUCCUGGCACAUUCAAAUUUGCAUAUUGGGACCUUCAUGGCUUCUCAGCCAGCCAAUCAUAUCUGAGUCCUGGCACAUUCAAAUUUGCAUAUUGUUGCCUUCAUGGCUUCCCAGCCAGCCAAUCAUAUCUGAGUCCUGGCACAUUCAAAUUUGCAUAUUGGGACCUUCAUGGCUUCCCAGCCAGCCAAUCAUAUCUGAGUCCUGGCACAUUUAAAUUUGCAUAUUGGGACCUUCGUGGCUUCUAA